CAAGAAAUAGUUUAAAUAAAAUAGUAGCUUUGGGUGUUAUUGAUAAAAGUUUAAUCCUUUUUUUCUUGA
rnacentral:tRNA from 1 species